rnacentral:rRNA from 1 species
UACGUAGGGCGCAAGCGUUAUCCGGAAUUAUUGGGCGUAAAGAGCUCGUAGGCGGUUUGUCGCGUCGGCUGUGAAAACUCGGGGCUCAACCCCGAGCCUGCAGUCGAUACGGGCAGACUAGAGUGCUGUAGGGGAGACUGGAAUUCCUGGUGUAGCGGUGAAAUGCGCAGAUAUCAGGAGGAACACCAAUGGCGAAGGCAGCACUCUGGGACGGUACUGACGCUGAGACGCGAAAGCGUGGGGAGCAAACAGG